GUGAGGAAUUUUGCGCAAUGGGGGCAACCCUGACGCAGCGACGCCGCGUGGAGGACGAAGUCUUUCGGGAUGUAAACUCCUGUCAGUGGGGACGAUAAUGACGGUACCCACAGAGGAAGCACCGGCUAACUCCGUGCCAGCAGCCGCGGUAAGACGGAGGGUGCAAGCGUUGUUCGGAAUUACUGGGCGUAAAGCGUAUGUAGGCGGCAAGUUAAGUUCAAUGUUAAAGCCCACGGCUCAACCGAGGAGAUGCAUUGAAUACUGGCUAGCUAGAGGGUGUUAGAGGAAGACGGAAUUCCCAGUGUAGCGGUGAAAUGCGUAGAUAUUGGGAGGAACAUCGGUAGCGAAAGCGGUCUUCUGGGACAUACCUGACGCUGAGGUACGAAAGCGUGGGGAGCAAACGGGAUUAGAAACCCUUGUACC
rnacentral:rRNA from 1 species